rnacentral:rRNA from 1 species
AGUGAACGCUGGCGGUAGGCCUAACACAUGCAAGUCGAGCGGCAGCACGGUAAGAGCUUGCUCUUACGGGUGGCGAGUGGCGGACGGGUGAGGAAUACAUCGGAAUCUACUUUUUCGUGGGGGAUAACGUAGGGAAACUUACGCUAAUACCGCAUACGACCUACGGGUGAAAGCAGGGGAUCUUCGGACCUUGCGCGAUUGAAUGAGCCGAUGUCGGAUUAGCUAGUUGGCGGGGUAAAGGCCCACCAAGGCGACGAUCCGUAGCUGGUCUGAGAGGAUGAUCAGCCACACUGGAACUGAGACACGGUCCAGACUCCUACGGGAGGCAGCAGUGGGGAAUAUUGGACAAUGGGCGCAAGCCUGAUCCAGCCAUACCGCGUGGGUGAAGAAGGCCUUCGGGUUGUAAAGCCCUUUUGUUGGGAAAGAAAAGCAGCAGGUUAAUACCCCGCUGUUCUGACGGUACCCAAAGAAUAGGCACCGGCUAACUUCGUG